UACGUAGGGUGCAAGCGUUAAUCGGAAUUACUGGGCGUAAAGCGUGCGCAGGCGGUGAUGUAAGACAGGUGUGAAAUCCCCGGGCUUAACCUGGGAACUGCAUUGUGACUGCAUCGCUGGAGUGCGGCAGAGGGGAUGGAAUUCCGCGUGUAGCAGUGAAAUGCGUAGAUAUGCGGAGGAACACCGAUGGCGAAGGCAAUCCCCUGGGCCUGCACUGACGCUC
rnacentral:rRNA from 1 species